ensembl:lncRNA
CACACUUGAGGAGACUCGGGCUCCGGAGUCGGCGGGAGCUUCAGCCCUUUCCCCCACGGGGGAGUUUAUACCAGCUUGCACGCCAAGAAGCUACAGAUGGUAACAUGAGUCUCAGCCGGACACUCCUGUUAAUGUACCUUGUCCUGACUCCGUGAUUCCUCACCCUACUGUCAAUUCCACGUGUGUCCUGGAAACAGCCCAGGAGGAGAGAGGAGUCAGGAUUGUUGGAAGGGCUUACAGACCUCAGAGGAUCAGAGAGGAGUGUGCGGAUACUAGGGAGGUAGAUUCUGUACCAUCUGAGCCACCAGGGAAGCCCAGAGAAGAGUGACGAACAGGUGCAGACACGAUGCGGUUUAUGAUGUGGCCCUAGAGUAGAAGGCCAGGUUUUAUUUACGGAUAUUUUUUCAGACUUACUCCAUGUACCAAGUUGAAUACUAUCAGUACUAUUUAUGGAUCCUUCUGUGACUUGCUUUGAAUCUCCUGAAUGCAAAACCAAUUAGAUGAAGAGAUGGAGUAUAUGCGUAGGAGCUAGUCUUCUGAGGAAGACUCCCACCCCCAACUCCUGAUAUUCAAAAAUCCUGCACUCCUUUGGGGGUACGUGAGGGUGUGCCAAAACUCAGGAGUAAGACAAUCCCUUGAGAGAAGACCGCCGAUGGAGGCUCAACAAUAAGCAAGGUGCAAAGAACAUGAACUGGGGAAAAGGUGAGAUUCUAGCACAGUGGUGAUGGUGGAAGGAAGCAGCCCUUUGACCCAACUAGGCCAGUGCGCUGGAUGGGCUUUGGAAAAUGAUGACUGAGUGUGAGUGUUGUGUUUGUGUGUGUUGCCUGUGUGGCAGGUGUGCUCAAAGGUGGAGAAUCCUAGAGUGAACGUAACAUCUAGGGAGUGGGACCAUCUUCCCUUUAAGAAGCCUGUGUCCUGCUCUGGGACCAAACAACCAGGCAGGCAUCCAGGGUCUGCACAGGGUCAAUGUUCAACAGCGACACCUUGUGGCUGUGAGACCCAACAGCCCGAGAGAGCUAGACAUUCUUUCCUGGGAACCUUUGCAAGAGCCAAUACAGUCCUCUUGUAGAAGCCCAGUCAGCCGGAGAAGGGCAGAGCAGAGUGAAUCAGUUCCUAUAAGCUGAGCUUUCUGACCUCUUAUUCUCAUCAGCCUAGGUGCUUCUCAAGGAAUCUCCCCAGAGGAAGGGUGUUGAGUGACAAGUGAGGACAGCCUUCAGACCUGCAUGAGCUCUGUGCAUCUCGAGAGGUGAACUGAUUGGGGUCCAGACAGGCUGCACAAGAGAUUCAGCUAAAGGGCUACUUGGGGUUAGUCACACAUUUAGACCUGCCUCAGGGAGUGUCGCCUGCCUGCUGGAAAUUAACCUACACGAUGAUCCACAAAAGAAAUGGGUCUGUUUUGGGCCGUGGUGAUGAGAAACCUGUAUGCAGGUCAGGAGGC